rnacentral:piRNA from 1 species
UGUGUGUGCCACUGAUGAAGCCCAUUGC